rnacentral:rRNA from 1 species
CUGGCGGCGUGCCUAAUACAUGCAAGUCGAACGGUCUUUCUAUGGAAGCUUGCUUCCACUGAGAAGAUAGUGGCGAACGGGUGAGUAACACGUGGGUAACCUGCCCAUAAGAGGGGGAUAACAUCCGGAAACGGGUGCUAAUACCGCAUAGUUUUCUUGAUCGCAUGAUCGGGAAAGGAAAGACGGCCUUUGUGCUGUCGCUUAUGGAUGGACCCGCGGCGUAUUAGUUAGUUGGUGAGGUAAUGGCUCACCAAGACGAUGAUACGUAGCCGACCUGAGAGGGUGAUCGGCCACAUUGGGACUGAGACACGGCCCAAACUCCUACGGGAGGCAGCAGUAGGGAAUCUUCCGCAAUGGACGAAAGUCUGACGGAGCAACGCCGCGUGAGUGAAGAAAAGGUUUUCGGAUCGUAAAACUCUGUUGUCAGAGAAGAACAAGUUGGAGAGUAACUGCUCCAGCCUUGACGGUAUCUGACCAGAAAGCCACGGCUAACUACGUGCCAGCAGCCGC